UUUAGGCUGUGAGUACAUUAAACACAUGACAGGGGAGGAGGGAAGCCUGGGGUCCUUCUGAGAAGGCAGGGGCCAAUGUGCAUCUGGGGAAGGGAAGGUAUAUAAAGCUGGAGCUGCUCAAAUCCUCUUAUUGGGUCAUAGAUCAAAUGCUGGGGUCGUCAGUACCCUUAAAACAUUUGCUUCCUUGCCUUCAGAGCAGACUCCUGUGUCCUCCCAAAACUCUUCCUGCUCUCCAGCACCCCUCAGUUGACGUAACCCUUCGUCCUCGUAGGAACCUUAGGAUGGGUGUACAGAGGCAGCCAAGGAGGGGAACGUGCAUGAUCACUGUAAUGCUGAGACUGGAGACUCAGAUACUGCUCAGUAGCUUCACAAGGAGCGGCGCUGGCAUUUAGACCCGUCUGCUGACUGGGCCUUGUCUCUGAGGAAGGAGGCCCACAGUUCCAGGGAGCACCCUGUUUAUUUCCAGCAUUCACUCCUCACUAAACCCUAAUACUUGAGCCUACUUGUUCCCCAAGGAAUCCAGUUUCCUGAGCGACUAGGAGGACAGACACAUGUACCACUGUGUCUGUGGUUCAACAGUCCCAGUGCUGAUGGGCCACACUCAAAGCUGGGCAAGCGCAGCCUGGCUUAGAAGUAUCUUACAGGGUCUGUCCCAUACUCAAAAAAGGCAGCAGGGAGCUGGCCUUGUCCUUGUCUUCCCACUAUUUGUGAAGAGUGGCCCUUCUUGGCUGACAAACAGCAAGGUAAUGAGGAAAGCUGGGGUGCUUCUGGGCGGAGCAGGCCUGCAGGUGCCCUGACAGCAGGCUUCCUGAGUAAACUGCAGCUAGCAUAGGGCCCAUUGCCCAGGGAGAGCAGAGCUGGGUCCCAAGGGCACCUCCCCAGGUUCUUUCUUAAGUAGUCUGUCCUCUAUGGUGAUAUUUUAUUUGAACUGAAAUGUGAUUUUAUUUGUAUGUUAAUAAAUAAAGUUGCCUGGGGGUCAGAGCUAAUAGCAAGCUAUAGCAGAGCUGGGCGUUCAUGUCGCACGCCUUUAAUUCCAGCACUUGGUAGGCAGAACUAGGUAGAUCUCUGUGUGUUCAAGGAUACAGCCAGCAUUGGAGACACAUGCCUUUAAUCUCAAUACCAACCAUAGAAGAUCUGGAGGUCUGUACAAAGAGGCAGUGACGAGGCGGUCAUGUGAUUGGGUUUACAACCAAUGAGAAGGCAGAACAGAAAGACUAUAUAAAGAUAAACAGACAGGAAGUAGGUCUCUCUUGGCUGAAGUGGCUAGCUGCAGCAGACGGGUAAGGCUCUUAGCUCUGAUCUCUUGGCUUUCUUCUUUGCAUUGGUUCUGUUUCUUAUUUUAAUAAGACGGUUGGUUACAUCUACAAUCCUCCUUGCUUUCAACUCUGACAGGACCCUUUUUAAGGCAGGAGGAACGAACCCGAGCAUCGCUUACUGGUAGCUCCCUCAACAGGAACCUGCCUUUCAAGCUCCUUAGAACCCAAGGCUCCAAGUAUGCAAGAGGAUGGGAAUAUUAGUGGAUGCCCUCUGGUCUCAGAUCCAUUCCUGUAACAGGAGACAUGUACCCCACUCCUGAACCACAGGGCAGUGUUUUAAGGAUGAGCAGGAAGUCACUUGCAGUGCCAAGGGGCAAAAGAGACCCCUCUUGAUUCAGGACCCAGGAAGUACCCAACCCAUCGGGGCAAGGAACUCUACAGUCAUAUGGUCCAAAAAG